rnacentral:rRNA from 1 species
CGGUGAAUACGUUCCCGGACCUUGUACACACCGCCCGUCAAGCCAUGGAAGCUGGGUGUACCUAAAGUCAAUAACCGCAAGGAGUCGCCUAGGGUAAAACUAGUAACUGGGGCU